rnacentral:rRNA from 1 species
CAAAGGCUUGGUCCUGACUUUACUAUCAGCUUUCGCCAAAUCUACACAUGCAAGUCUCCGCAUCCCCGUGAGAAUGCCCUUAAUCCCCCGUCCGGGGAUGAGGAGCUGGCAUCAGGUGCGCUUCGGCAGCCCAUAACGCCUUGCUAAGCCACACCCCCAAGGGAACUCAGCAGUGAUAAACAUUAAGCUAUAAGCGCAAGCUUGACUUAGUUAAGGUGAACAGGGUCGGUAAAACUCGUGCCAGCCACCGCGGUUAUACGAGAGACUCAAGUUGAUGGCUAUCGGCGUAAAGAGUGGUUAAGGAAUUUUUAAAAUAAAGCCGAAUACCCCCUAGGCUGUUAUACGCACCUGGGGGCACGAAGCCCUCCCACGAAAGUGGCUUUACCCCCCCCCCCCCGAACCCACGACAGCUAUGCUACAAACUGGGAUUAGAUACCCCACUAUGCUUAGCCGUAAACUUUGAUAAAAAAUUACAAUUAAUAUCCGCCAGGGAACUACGAGCGCCAGCUUAAAACCCAAAGGACUUGGCGGUGCCCCAGACCCACCUAGAGGAGCCUGUUCUAGAACCGAUACCCCCCGUUCAACCUCACCACCCCUUGUCAACCCCGCCUAUAUACCGCCGUCGUCAGCUUACCCUGUGAAGGCCCUAUAGUAAGCAGAAAGGAUAUAACCCAAAACGUCAGGUCGAGGUGUAGCGUAUGGGGUGGGAAGAAAUGGGCUACAUUCUCUAAUUUUAGAGUAGACGAAUGAUACUGUGAAACCAGAAUCUGAAGGCGGAUUUAGCAGUAAGUAGAAAAUAGAGUAUUCUCUUGAAACUGGCUCUGAGGCGCGCACACACCGCCCGUCACUCUCCCCGGGUUCACUUUCUCCAAGUAAAUAAGAAAACAACCGAACUAAGGGGAGGCAAGUCGUAACAUGGUAAGUGUACCGGAAGGUGCACUUGGAACAAC